UCGAGAAUCUUCGGCAAUGCGCGAAAGCUGACCGAGCAAUGCCGCGUGCGGGAUGAAGGCCCUCGGGUUGUAAACCGCAGUAAGGAGGGCCUCCAAUUACAGUAAGGACGGGCUAAGUUCGUGCCAGCAGCCGCGGUAAGACGAACCGUCCGAACGUUAUUCGGAAUUAUUGGGCUUAAAGGGUGCGUAGGCGGCCUUGUAAGUCGGGUGUGAAAUCCCACGGCUCAACCGUGGAACUGCGCCCGAUACUGCAUGGCUUGAGGGAGACAGAGGUAAGCGGAACUGAUGGUGGAGCGGUGAAAUGCGUUGAUAUCAUCAGGAACACCGGUGGCGAAAGCGGCUUACUGGGUCUCUUCUGACGCUGAGGCACGAAAGCUAGGGUAGCGAACGGGAUUAGAUACCCUAGUAGU
rnacentral:rRNA from 1 species